rnacentral:miRNA from 1 species
UCCUGUCUACAGCCAUACCACCCUGAACGCGCCUGGUUUCAUCUGAUCUUGGAAGCUGAGCAGGGUCGGGCCUAGUUAGUACUUGGAUGGG